rnacentral:rRNA from 1 species
UACAGAGGUCUCAAGCGUUGUUCGGAUUCAUUGGGCGUAAAGGGUGUGUAGGUGGCGCGGUAAGUCGGGUGUGAAAUUUCGGAGCUUAACUCCGAAACUGCAUUCGAUACUGCGGUGCUUGAGGACUGGAGAGGAGAUUGGAAUUCACGGUGUAGCAGUGAAAUGCGUAGAUAUCGUGAGGAAGACCAGUGGCGAAGGCGGAUCUCUGGACAGUUCCUGACGCUGAGGCGCGAAGGCCAGGGGAGCAAACGGG